rnacentral:rRNA from 1 species
AAGCGUUGUUCGGAUUUAUUGGGCGUAAAGCGCGUGUAGGCGGUUUUUUAAGUCUGAUGUGAAAGCCCUGGGCUCAACCCAGGAAGUGCAUUGGAUACUGGAAGACUUGAAUACGGGAGAGGGUAGUGGAAUUCCUAGUGUAGGAGUGAAAUCCGUAGAUAUUAGGAGGAACACCGGUGGCGAAGGCGGCUACCUGGACCGAUAUUGACGCUGAGACGCGAAAGCGUGGGGAGCAAACAGGAUUAGAUACCCUGGUAGUCCACGCCGUAAACGAUGAGWACUAGGUGUUGCGGGUAUUGACCCCUGCAGUGCC